rnacentral:rRNA from 1 species
AUAUGCUUACAACAUAGUGUUAAUGCACUAGAUCCCAUUAGAACUCCACAGUUAAGCACACUUGAGCUAUAUUAGUAUUGAGAUGGGUGACCGACUAAAAAUUCCUAGUGUUUUACAUGCC